AUUUUGCAAUUACAAGAAAUGUUCUUUGGAACUUUCUAUCCAUCAACUGAUCUUAAAAAUAGUAUCACGAAAGCAUUAAGCAGCACAACAGAUUUCAAUAUUCAUAAGAAUAAAUGUUUCUUGAGCACAAGAUCACCAUAUAUUAGAAUCAAAUUCAGCUUUGCCAUAACAGGAAUUCAUUUACACUUUAAAAUGUAUUAAAAUGACUGUUUUUUUUUGUUUGUUUUUGUCUUUUGUUUUUUAGGACUGUGUAUAGAUACAUUCAUGUAUCAUCAAAUACUGCUUGCUGACAUGAGUAUCAAUACAGCUGUUAUCUGUGCAAUUAAUGUUUGGUGCCACAUGCAAACUGCUAAUUAAUUUGUUUAAUGAUAAAUUACCAGCAAUGCAAAGAUUAUCUCUUAGAAUAUAUAAUAUUAUUACACUAGAAAUUCUAGUAAAAGAUACAAGCAGCAAACUAUGCAGAAUAUUGUUGGGGUGCACCCAAUAUUCACAUGAAACCUAUCACAACCUGUACUGUUGCAAGCCUUCUAUAACGCAGAGGUCAGGCCACUAUAAUCUUGUAGUGAAAAUCUGAUAUUGUGAAAUGUAGGUGUAAAUGUCAAUCUGUUUCAGCUGACCACUUGUGAUCAGAUCACCCGAGACAGAUGUUAACACCAGGUGUAAACAGCAACCAAGGGAGCUUCACUGAGACCCAGCAUUUACAACCAAUAUUUAGGGCCCGAGCACCGAUGGUGUGAGGACCCUCUUGUAUCUGCUUUGUUUAUUAUUAUUAUUAUUAUUAUUCUUCUUCUUCUUCUUCUUCUUCUCCAAAAUGAAUCGCAUUUUUGAGGGCCUAAACAUGCUCGAAAAGUCCUGAAACUUUGCACACGCGUCAGACCUGGUGAAAAUUUACGUCUGAUAUAGGUUUCAGAAGAGGGUGUGGCAAAAUGGCUCGACAGCGCCACCUACCGUAAAAAAAUCAACAGCCCUCGAGCUGUGUUUCACGUACAUGCACGAAAAUUGGCACACAUAUGUAAAGCAUCAGUACCUACAAAAAAGACUCUUGGAGCAAUAUCCGAAACCCAACAGGAAGUCGGUUAUUUUUAAUUUUAUGAGCAAAUUUUGCAUCAUUUUUGUCAUUUGCAUGCCUUGUAUUUUAACGAACUCCUCCUAGAGAUUUAUUCAGAUCAACACCAAAUUUGGUAUGCCUAAUCUAAAGGCCUUUGCGAUGUUAAAUUGCGAAGAUCUUGAGUUUUCGUUGAAGGGCGUGUCCGUGGCGGCCUGACGAAUUUCGAUGAUUCGCCAUGAAAAAUGAAGUUGCUAUAACUCAGACAUACAAUGUCCAAUCUGCCACAAACUUCACAUGUUUGAUAAGACUCCUGACCUGAACAGAUUGAUAUGCCCAUAUUCAGUUAUAGUCAUAGCGCCACCUACUGGCAACAGGAAGUCUCUCUACCUCCCUACACAUGUAUUUUGAAUUUUUUAUGUUAAAGAUGAACUUGACAAAUACCAAUUAUUUUUAUUUUAUUUUAUUUUUCAUUAUACUACUUUUAUUGUGAAUUAUUUUGGCCACUAUAAUCUUGUAGUGAAAAUCUGAUAUUGUGAAAUGUAGGUGUAAAUGUCAAUCUGUUUCAGCUGACCACUUGUGAUCAGAUCACCCGAGACAGAUGUUAACACCAGGUGUAAACAGCAACCAAGGGAGCUUCACUGAGACCCAGCAUUUACAACCAAUCUUGUUGAUUGCUUCUAAUCAAUCUGAAAAAUGGAGAUGAUCCGUGUGGGUUCAUUUAUUUGUCUGCUUGUUUAUCCAAUUACUCGAUACAACACCUUGGUGUUAUCCCAGUGUCAUUAUGAUGCAAAUUAUCCGUCUUUUUUUUUUUUUUUUGCCUCAAUGACCAACUAAACCAGAGAUGGGCAAAUAAACAAUUGGGAAAGUGUUUUGCUUUGGAACA
ensembl:lncRNA